rnacentral:rRNA from 1 species
GAUGAACGCUGGCGGCGUGCCUAAUACAUGCAAGUCGAGCGAACAGACUAGGAGCUUGCUCCUCUGACGUUAGCGGCGGACGGGUGAGUAACACGUGGAUAACCUACCUAUAAGACUGGGAUAACUUCGGGAAACCGGAGCUAAUACCGGAUAAUAUAUUGAACCGCAUGGUUCAAUAGUGAAAGACGGUUUUGCUGUCACUUAUAGAUGGAUCCGCGCCGCAUUAGCUAGUUGGUAAGGUAACGGCUUACCAAGGCGACGAUGCGUAGCCGACCUGAGAGGGUGAUCGGCCACACUGGAACUGAGACACGGUCCAGACUCCUACGGGAGGCAGCAGUAGGGAAUCUUCCGCAAUGGGCGAAAGCUUGACGGAGCAACGCCGCGUGAGUGAUGAAGGUCUUCGGAUCGUAAAACUCUGUUAUUAGGGAAGAACAAAUGUGUAAGUAACUAUGCACGUCUUGACGGUACCUAAUCAGAAAGCCACGGCUAACUACGUG